GCUACCAUGCAGUCGAGCGGUAGCACAGAGAGCUUGCUCUCGGGUGACGAGCGGCGGACGGGUGAGUAAUGUCUGGGAAACUGCCUGAUGGAGGGGGAUAACUACUGGAAACGGUAGCUAAUACCGCAUAAUGUCGCAAGACCAAAGUGGGGGACCUUCGGGCCUCAUGCCAUCAGAUGUGCCCAGAUGGGAUUAGCUAGUAGGUGGGGUAACGGCUCACCUAGGCGACGAUCCCUAGCUGGUCUGAGAGGAUGACCAGCCACACUGGAACUGAGACACGGUCCAGACUCCUACGGGAGGCAGCAGUGGGGAAUAUUGCACAAUGGGCGCAAGCCUGAUGCAGCCAUGCCGCGUGUGUGAAGAAGGCCUUCGGGUUGUAAAGCACUUUCAGCGGGGAGGAAGGCGGUGAGGUUAAUAACCUUGUCGAUUGACGUUACCCGCAGAAGAAGCACCGGCUAACUCCGUGCCAGCAGCCGCGGUAAUACGGAGGGUGCAAGCGUUAAUCGGAAUUACUGGGCGUAAAGCGCACGCAGGCGGUCUGUCAAGUCGGAUGUGAAAUCCCCGGGCUCAACCUGGGAACUGCAUUCGAAACUGGCAGGCUAGAGUCUUGUAGAGGGGGGGUAGAAUUCCAGGUGUAGCGGUGAAAUGCGUAGAGAUCUGGAGGAAUACCGGUGGCGAAGGCGGCCCCCUGGACAAAGACUGACGCUCAGGUGCGAAAGCGUGGGGAGCAAACAGGAUUAGAUACCCUGGUAGUCCACGCCGUAAACGAUGUCGAUUUGGAGGUUGUGCCCUUGAGGCGUGGCUUCCGGAGCUAACGCGUUAAAUCGACCGCCUGGGGAGUACGGCCGCAAGGUUAAAACUCAAAUGAAUUGACGGGGGCCCGCACAAGCGGUGGAGCAUGUGGUUUAAUUCGAUGCAACGCGAAGAACCUUACCUGGUCUUGACAUCCACAGAACUUUCCAGAGAUGGAUUGGUGCCUUCGGGAACUGUGAGACAGGUGCUGCAUGGCUGUCGUCAGCUCGUGUUGUGAAAUGUUGGGUUAAGUCCCGCAACGAGCGCAACCCUUAUCCUUUGUUGCCAGCGGUUCGGCCGGGAACUCAAAGGAGACUGCCAGUGAUAAACUGGAGGAAGGUGGGGAUGACGUCAAGUCAUCAUGGCCCUUACGACCAGGGCUACACACGUGCUACAAUGGCAUAUACAAAGAGAAGCGACCUCGCGAGAGCAAGCGGACCUCAUAAAGUAUGUCGUAGUCCGGAUUGGAGUCUGCAACUCGACUCCAUGAAGUCGGAAUCGCUAGUAAUCGUAGAUCAGAAUGCUACGGUGAAUACGUUCCCGGGCCUUGUACACACCGCCCGUCACACCAUGGGAGUGGGUUGCAAAAGAAGUAGGUAGCUUAACCUUCGGGAGGGCGCUACCACUA
rnacentral:rRNA from 1 species